rnacentral:rRNA from 1 species
GAUAUUCCUGUACUACCGAUAACCGUUUGAGAGAAGGGAUGACACAGUAGGAUAAGCUAAGCACACUGUUGGUUAUGUGUGCCCAAGCAUUGAGGCAGUCAAAGCAGGCAAAUCCGCUUUGAUAAUGCUGGGAUGUGAUGGGGAGCGAAAUUUAGUAGCGAAGUAGCUGAUUUCACACUGUCAAGAAAAGUCUCUAUCGAGGUUAAAGGUACCCGUACCGCAAACCGACACAGGUGGGUGAGGAGAGUAUCCUAAGGCCAGCGAGAGAACUGUUGUUAAGGAACUCGGCAAAAUGACCCCGUAACUUAGGGAUAAGGGGUGCCACCAUCCGGUGGCCGCAGAGAAUAGGCCCAAGCGACUGUUUACCAAAAACAUAGGUUUCUGCUAAGUCGCAAGACGAUGUAUAGGAGCUGACGCCUGCCCGGUGCUGGAAGGUUAAGGGGAUCUGUUAGAGCAAUCGAAGCAGUGAACUUAAGCCCCAGUAAACGGCGGCCGUAACUAUAACGGUCCUAAGGUAGCGAAAUUCCUUGUCGGGUAAGUUCCGACCCGCACGAAAGGCGUAACGAUUUGGGCACUGUCUCAACAACAGACUCGGUGAAAUUGUAAUUCCGGUGAAGAUGCCGGAUACCUGCGACAGGACGGAAAGACCCCAUGGAGCUUUACUGUAGCUUGACAUUGGGUCUUGGUACUACAUGUACAGGAUAGGUGGGAGGCUUUGAAACCAGGACGCCAGUUUUGGCGGAGCCAUCCUUGGGAUACCACCCUUGUAGUACUGGGACUCUAACCAUAGGCCAUGAAUCUGGUCUUGGGACACUGUCAGGUGGGCAGUUUGACUGGGGCGGUCGCCUCCCAAAAGGUAACGGAGGCGCUCAAAGGUUCUCUCAGUACGGUCGGAAAUCGUACGUAGAGUGUAAAGGCAAAAGAGAGCUUGAUUGCAAGACAUACAGGUCGAGCAAGGAUGAAAAUCGGACUUAGUGAUCCGGUGGUUCUGCGUGGAAGGGCCAUCGCUCAACGGAUAAAAGCUACCCUGGGGAUAACAGGCUUAUCUCCCCCAAGAGUCCACAUCGACGGGGAGGUUUGGCACCUCGAUGUCGGCUCAUCACAUCCUGGGGCUGUAGUAGGUCCCAAGGGUUGGGCUGUUCGCCCAUUAAAGUGGUACGCGAGCUGGGUUCAGAACGUCGUGAGACAGUUCGGUCCCUAUCCGUCGCAGGCGUAGGAAAUUUGAGAAGACCUGUCCUUAGUACGAGAGGACCGGGAUGGACGUACCUCUGGUGUACCAGUUGUUCUGCCAAGGGCAUGGCUGGGUAGCUAUGUACGGAAUGGAUAAGCGCUGAAAGCAUCUAAGCGCGAAGCCAACUUCAAGAUAAGAUUUCCCACCGCAAGGGUAAGACCCCAGAAAGACUAUCUGGUUGAUAGGUCGAAGGUGUAAGUGCAGCAAUGUAUUUAGCUUAUCGAUACUAAUAG